rnacentral:rRNA from 1 species
ACGGUACCGGACAUAUGCCCGGGAAUUCGGCCAUUACGGCCGGGCACAUGCAAGUUGAACGAAGAUAAUAGUUCAUUGAAUUAUAAUACUUAGUAGCGGACGGGUGAGUAACGCGUAAGAAUCUACCUUUAGGAAAAGGAUAACAACUGGAAACGGUUGCUAAUACUUUAUAUGCUGAGAAGUUAAAUAGGUUACUGCCUAAAGAUGAGCUUGCGUCUGAUUAGCUAGUUGGUAAGGUAAAGGCUUACCAAGGCAAUUAUCAGUAGUUGGUCUGAGAGGAUGAUCAGCCACACUGGGACUGAGACACGGCCCAGACUCCUACGGGAGGCAGCAGUGAGGAAUUUUUCGCAAUGGGCGCAAGCCUGACGAAGCAAUACCGCGUGAAGGAUGAAGGCCUGCGGGUUGUAAACUUCUUUUAUUAGAGAAGAUAAUGACGGUAUCUAAUGAAUAAGCAUCGGCUAAAUAUGUGCCAGCAGCCGCGGUAAGACAUAUGAUGCAAGCGUUAUCCGGAAUGAUUGGGCGUAAAGCGUCUGUAGGUUGUUUAAAAAGUCAACUGUCAAAAACUAAAGCUCAACUUUAGGCAGGCAGUUGAAACUUUUAGACUAGAGUAUGGCAGAGGUAGAGGGAAUUACUGGUGUAACGGUGAAAUGUGCAGAUAUCAGUAAGAACACCAAUGGCGAAAGCACUCUACUGGACCAAAACUGACACUCAGAGACGAAAGCUAGGGGAGCGAAUAGGAUUAGAUACCCUAGUAGUCCUAGCUGUAAACGAUGGAAACUAAAUAUUGCGUUUUUAAAAUGCAGUAUUGUAGCUAACGCGUUAAG